CAGUCGAACGAGAGAGAGGGAGCUUGCUUCCUUGAUCGAGUGGCGAACGGCUGAGUAACGCGUGAGGAACCUGCCUCAAAGAGGGGGACAACAGUUGGAAACGACUGCUAAUACCGCAUAAGCCCACGGUGCCGCAUGGCACAGAGGGAAAAGGAGCAAUCCGCUUUGAGAUGGCCUCGCGUCCGAUUAGCUAGUUGGUGAGGUAACGGCCCACCAAGGCGACGAUCGGUAGCCGGACUGAGAGGUUGAACGGCCACAUUGGGACUGAGACACGGCCCAGACUCCUACGGGAGGCAGCAGUGGGGAAUAUUGCACAAUGGGGGAAACCCUGAUGCAGCGACGCCGCGUGGAGGAAGAAGGUCUUCGGAUUGUAAACUCCUGUUGUUGAGGAAGAUAAUGACGGUACUCAACAAGGAAGUGACGGCUAACUACGUGCCAGCAGCCGCGGUAAAACGUAGGUCACAAGCGUUGUCCGGAAUUACUGGGUGUAAAGGGAGCGCAGGCGGGCGAUCAAGUUGGAAGUGAAAUCCAUGGGCUCAACCCAUGAACUGCUUUCAAAACUGGUCGUCUUGAGUAGUGCAGAGGUAGGCGGAAUUCCCGGUGUAGCGGUGGAAUGCGUAGAUAUCGGGAGGAACACCAGUGGCGAAGGCGGCCUACUGGGCACCAACUGACGCUGAGGCUCGAAAGUGUGGGUAGCAAACAGGAUUAGAUACCCUGGUAGUCCACACCGUANACGAUGAUUACUAGGUGUUGGGAGNUUGACCCUCUCAGUGCCG
rnacentral:rRNA from 1 species